rnacentral:rRNA from 1 species
AAUCAACGCUGGCGGCGUGCCUAACACAUGCAAGUCGAGCGGGAAAGGGGGCUUCGGUCCCUGAGUAUAGCGGCGGACGGGUGAGUAACACGUGGGUAAUUUGCCCUUGGGUGUGGAAUAACUCAGGGAAACUUGAGCUAAUACCGCAUGACAUCCCCUUCACACACGAGUUGGGGAUCAAAGCCGGGGACCCUUCGGGGCCUGGCGCCUGAGGAGAAGCCCGCGCCCGAUUAGCUAGNGGUGAGGUAAUGGCUCACCAAGGCUUCGAUCGGUAGCCGGCCUGAGAGGGCGGACGGCCACACUGGGACUGAGACACGGCCCAGACUCCUACGGGAGGCAGCAGUGGGGAAUUUUUGUCAAUGGGGGAAACCCUGAACAAGCAACGCCGCGUGGAGGACGACGACCU